CACUCGGGUGGCUGCAUGCCUCAGAAAGCUUGGGGUUCCGCCCUUGC
rfam:Hepacivirus hominis isolate 364797 polyprotein gene, complete cds